rnacentral:tRNA from 1 species
AGACACUUAGGCUAUUUUAAACCAGGGCCCUUCAAAGCCCCAGAAAGAGACCACAUCUCUAGUGUCUG